rnacentral:lncRNA from 1 species
CCAACAACCUCCCAAAGCUCCUCUGUCUCCGGAAAUAAGGAACUCGCCUAACUCGGCCAAGCCGGAUAGCAAGGACACAGCAAAGCCGGACAGGAAGAAGGGCCUUGACGAGGGCCUCACGCACGGCGCCUCCUCCGCGCUCUGCUCUGAUAAUAAUAAUGGAGCGCAACGACACCGGAUGGCGGAUAUACGGGGGUGAGCGGGGGUGAGCGGGGGACGCCACCGACGGAAAGAACACCUAAUCGAGACAUAGGACGCAAAGCGGGCUGAAUGCUGGCACCCCGGAGUUUGGCCCUCUCUCCCUCCCUCCCCCAUAUCCACACACGAUCGGGGGGUGGGGGGGAGUUCUGCCCCACCUCAGCUGAUAUGCACACGCCUCUCCCCCUCGAUCGCGCUCUGCCAGCCACAUCUCACGCGACAUCUCUCGCAUUUUCUUACCUUCUUCUCGUCUCCCAUUCGGCCAGGCCACCACGAUGGGCAGGACAAUCAAGCUGAUGAUGGAGCUAGCUGUUCAUGCGGCGCUUUUUGAUGAUGGCUUUGGAGGAGAAAGACCUUGAGGCAUGUGAGGUACUAAGGGUGCAUUUCCAGUGCGGAUUAAGGCCAGGGAUUAAGUCCUGACUGCUCAGGUAUAUUCUAAGGUCGGAUGGGGUCGCAUGGGGGGAAGCUUCUUUGGAGUCCGGGUGCCCCCGGGCAUGCAGGCAGGCAGCCCGGCACAGCUUAAAAAGAGGGAGGGAGCGAAAAAGGGGUUGAUGGAGGCGGAGAUGGGGGAUGCGCACUCAGGUAAGGAGCCAUCGGAGGCAUCGUGCAAAUAUCCGCUUACCGCUCUUUUUCUUACCGCUCCUUUUGUGGCAUACCGACCGACCGACAGACAGGCCGACAGAUAGAUAGAACGAUGGACCACAACACGCACAACACGAGCUUG